GGGAAGGCUCUUUUGCUGGAGAUCCCUCAUUUGUGGAGUUUUCCUGUGAGACUAGGCCUCUGGAGAUGGGAAGAGGAUCACAUUCCUAGUUGCCACAAGCCAGUCCAGACAUCCUGAUAAAACAUGCCCAUUUACAGAGUGACGCUGCAAUUUCAGAGUCAAGAGGAGGAUUAAAUGCCAGAGCUGCUCUGCACUAUCCUGUGUUUCAAGUGUGGCCCAAUAGGAGAACUGAAAACACUCAAGUGGAGGCACUGUGAGGGUGUUUGACCAGCACUCCUUAAGGUCUCUCUUUGCAAGGUGAUGCUUGCAGGUGGAUGGAUCAGUAUGACCAGAACGGACACAACUAGAGUCUCAUCAUAGCCAAGAAGUAACUCCGAGAUAUCUAAGAGCCUUCUAGUCACGUGAGCUUCCAGCACAGUAAGAUUUACAUGCCAUACAGAGUGGGGCCCCUAAUUAUCAGGAUGGUUUUGCAAAACUGACCCAGAAGCUUUCAAAACAGUUUGGACUAAUUCCACAAACUCUUUAAAAUACCCUUG